UUUGAUCCUGGCUCAGAAUGAACGCUGGCGGCGUGCUUUACACUGCAGUUGAGCGAGGCCGGUAGCAUACCGAGUCGAGCGGCGAACGGGUGAGUAACGCGUGGAUAACCUGCCCUGAGGUGGGGAAUAACCCGGGGAAACUCGGGCUAAUACCGCAUGAUACCGAGAGGUCAAAGAGGGCUCGCAAGGGCUCUUGCCACAGGAGGGGUCCGCGUUCGAUUAGCUAGUUGGUAGGGUAAUGGCCUACCAAGGCGACGAUCGAUAGCCGGCCUGAGAGGGUGAUCGGCCACACUGGAACUGAGACACGGUCCAGACUCCUACGGGAGGCAGCAGUGGGGAAUUUUGCGCAAUGGGCUAACGCCUGACGCAGCAACGCCGCGUGGAGGAUGAAGGUCUUUGGAUUGUAAACUCCUGUCAGCAGGGAAAAAGCGACUUAGGUUAAUACCCUAGGGAGUUGAUUGUACCUGCAGAGGAAGCCCCGGCUAACUCUGUGCCAGCAGCCGCGGUAAUACAGAGGGGGCAAGCGUUAUUCGGAAUUAUUGGGCGUAAAGGGCGCGUAGGCGGCUUUUCAAGUGACGGGUGAAAUCCCUCGGCUUAACCGAGGAACUGCCUGUCACACUGGAAGGCUUGAGACCGGGAGAGGUGAGUGGAAUUCCCAGUGUAGCGGUGAAAUGCGUAGAUAUUGGGAGGAACACCAGUGGCGAAGGCGGCUCACUGGACCGGAACUGACGCUGAGGCGCGAAAGCGUGGGGAGCAAACAGGAUUAGAUACUCUGGUAGUCCACGCCGUAAACGUUGGGCACUAGGUGUGGGACCCUAUCGACGGGAUCCGUGCCGUAGCUAACGCAUUAAGUGCCCCGCCUGGGGAGUACGGCCGCAAGGCUAAAACUCAAAGGGAAUUGACUUGGAAGGGCGAAUUCCGGGCACACUGAAACGUCGUUUACUGAGGUAUCGCGACCUGCGGUGACUCGACUAU
rnacentral:rRNA from 1 species